AUGGCUCAGAUUGAACGCUGGCGGCAGGCUUAACACAUGCAAGUCGAGCGGU
rnacentral:rRNA from 1 species